CCCAACUCAGCUCGCUCCCGCUGCCCAGCCGCUCGCCAAGCCACCGCCCACCCUCGCCGCCAGCCAAUGGCCUCCUCCGCCAUGGAGCUCUCCCUCCUGAACCCCGCCGCAAUGCACCACCGCGCCUCCAGGCCCGCCGCCGGCCUGCCCCUGGCCCGUCGCUCCGCGGUCCGCUUCCGCGUGUCCGCCUCCGCCGCGGCCGCCGCGCCGCCCAAGUCCUCGGGCCCCAAGAAGCGGGGCAAGACGGAGAUCCAGGAGACGCUGCUCACGCCGCGGUUCUACACCACCGACUUCGAUGAGAUGGAGCGCCUCUUCAACGCCGAGAUCAACAAGCAGCUCAACCAGGCGGAGUUCGACGCGCUUGCUGCAGGAGUUCAAGACGGACUACAACCAGACCCACUUCGUGCGCAACCCCGAGUUCAAGGCCGCCGCCGACAAGAUGGACGGGCCGCUCCGCCAGAUAUUCGUCGAGUUCCUCGAGCGCUCCUGCACCGCGGAGUUCUCCGGGUUCCUCCUCUACAAGGAGCUCGGGCGCAGGCUCAAGAAAACCAACCCGGUGGUGGCCGAGAUCUUCUCGCUCAUGUCCAGGGACGAGGCGCGCCAUGCUGGGUUCUUGAACAAGGGUCUGUCUGACUUCAACUUGGCGCUGGACCUUGGGUUCCUGACCAAGGCUAGGAAGUACACCUUCUUCAAGCCCAAGUUCAUCUUCUACGCCACCUACCUGUCUGAGAAGAUUGGGUACUGGAGGUACAUCACCAUCUUCAGGCACCUCAAGGCGAACCCAGAGUACCAGGUUUACCCCAUCUUCAAGUACUUCGAGAACUGGUGCCAGGAUGAGAACAGGCACGGUGACUUCUUCUCUGCCCUGCUAAAGGCUCAGCCGCAGUUCCUUAACGACUGGAAGGCCAAGCUCUGGUCACGGUUCUUCUGCCUCUCGGUGUAUGUGACCAUGUACCUAAAUGACUGCCAACGCACUACAUUCUAUGAGGGGAUUGGUCUGGACACCAAGGAAUUUGACAUGCAUGUGAUCAUUGAGACCAACCGCACAACAGCGAGGAUCUUCCCUGCUGUUUUGGACGUUGAGAACCCUGAAUUCAAGAGGAAGCUUGACAAGAUGGUUGAGAUCAACCAGAAGAUCAUUGCCAUUGGAGAAUCUGGCGACAUCCCCUUAGUGAAGAACCUGAAGAGGAUUCCUCUUGUUGCCGCGCUGGUGUCUGAGAUCAUUGCGGCGUACCUUAUGCCCCCCAUCGAGUCAGGAUCAGUUGAUUUUGCUGAAUUCGAGCCUCAGCUUGUUUACUGAUUCUGUAGAAAGAUUUAUCCCUGAAUUAUUUUCCGCGAAAGACAAGCUGGUGCUUUCUCCCUGAGGGGCUUUGAAUGGUGAAAUGCUGGAUGGUUAAGAGGACCUGCAUCGUCUUGUGUUCGUCUGUAAAAUAUUGACAACGUAAGGCUUGGUAAGCUUUUGUGGUGUGUCAUCUCCAAUUCUCCAUGCAAGUGACAGUGAACUGCAUCAGAAGCGAGCGUUCCGGUUUUCCAGCAGAAGGGAGCGUCUGAACUCUGAAGUUGUACUGAUACUGAGGCCGAUAGCAUACAUACAGAUCAUUGCCUAAGUCCACUGUAUCACAUAUGAUCUUUGUGAAAUUACUUGUAACUUCUAUUCACACGCAUGUGAAUUUGGAACUAAGAAUGAUGAAUGUACCAAGCAUUAUUGGCUGAUCGUGUAACACUAGAAAGCUAUGUAACACAUUUGGCUAUGAGGCUAUACUAUGUGAAUUUUUACAUAUUUCUUA